rnacentral:rRNA from 1 species
AUUGAACGCUGGCGGCAUGCCUUACACAUGCAAGUCGAACGGCAGCACGGGAGCAAUCCUGGUGGCGAGUGGCGAACGGGUGAGUAAUGUAUCGGAACGUGCCCAGUCGUGGGGGAUAACGUAGCGAAAGCUACGCUAAUACCGCAUACGAUCUGUGGAUGAAAGCGGGAGACCGUAAGGCCUCGCGCGAUUGGAGCGGCCGAUAUCAGAUUAGGUAGUUGGUGGGGUAAAGGCCUACCAAGCCGACGAUCUGUAGCUGGUCUGAGAGGACGACCAGCCACACGGGGACUGAGACACGGCCCAGACUCCUACGGGAGGCAGCAGUGGGGAAUUUUGGACAAUGGGCGAAAGCCUGAUCCAGCAAUGCCGCGUGCAGGAUGAAGGCCUUCGGGUUGUAAACUGCUUUUGUACGGAGCGAAAAGGCUCUCUCUAAUACAGGGGGCUCAUGACGGUACCGUAAGAAUAAGCACCGGCUAACUACGUGCCAGCCGCCGCAGUAACAC